GAGCCAGGCUGCACUGUGGGCACUCAAAAACCAGAAGGGCAGAUAGAAAAAAAUAGUGGAUCCUCUGAAAGUGCCCAGAUGAGGAAGAGAGCCUGGGGCCAUGGGGAUGCGCAGAACAGCCUGUCUGUCUCUCUCAGUCAAUUCUGAUGACUCCUUGCACCCGUAGGGUGACAGCCAACUUCACAGGGAGGCCCAGAAGUCUGGACUGGGUACUCUGAAGUCCAGAUUGAGGACAGGACUUGCCUGAAGUCUCGCAGCAAGCUGGAGUGCAAUGGUACAAUCACAGCUCACUGCAGCCUCCACCUCCCAGGCUUAAGCCAUCCUCCGAUCUGAGCCUCCCAAAGUGCUGGGAUUACAGGAGUGCGUCACUGUGCCCGGCCCCAUCAUCAUUUAUUGAGUACUGAUUCUGGGCAGGGGGACACACUAACUGCUGAAAGGACACCAGAUCUGAAUCCGUCCCUGUCCUCAAGAAGCUCCAGGCUUAGGGAGGGAUGAGACAUACGCGUGAGAAAGCUCAGACCCCAGUCACAACAGCCUGGGUGUGAAUCUCCACUCUGCAUUUCCUGCUGUGAGUCAUCAAGCAAACCACGCAACCUCUGAGCCUCUGCUAUGUCCUGCGUGCAAUGGGGAGAAGAGUCCCUACCCUGACAUCACACUUCCAAGGCACAGGCACUGUCUGUCCUGAGCACCUCAUUUCAGGCUCCAAGCUCAGGAAACGCUCGCUCGCUACUGGAGGAAUGUUACAUCUUGAAGCAGCCUUGGCUCUGUCUGGGGAGGAUGACGUCACAGCUGCUGAGGAAGAAACCACGCCCAGCCGGCAGAACCCCAGAGGGCCCACCCGAGAGCUCCAAAGAAGUAGGAGGAACCAGAGGUCACAUCGCUCAGGAGGAAGAAACCUGCAUUGGCCAAGAGAGGCAUCCUACAGAGAGGCCCAGUGAUGGCUAUACUGAGACCAGAGGUGUCAAAUUAAGAGUUGUACUGGCUUCUGUCGUGUGGAAACAGCUGUGCUCUGGUGGCAGGGGCAAUGCCCUUUGCCAGAGAAAACCUGGCCUGCCCCACCGCUUCCGGGCUGGUGACUUGGGCCUGUGGCUCGGCUUCCUUAAGGCUCAGUGUUUUUGUCUGAAAUUGAGAUGGGGCCGGGUGCGGUGGCUUAUGCCUGUAAUCCCAGCACUUUGGGUGACUGAGGCGGAAGGAUCGCUUGAGCUCAGGAGUUUGAGACCAGCCUGAGCAAUACA
ensembl:lncRNA Novel transcript, antisense to BMP1